CUUGAUCCUUCGUGCAAUUUUUCUCUCUUGUUUUCAACUUUCGUUCUUUUCGUUUUGUUGUUUUUCGUUACAUGGUAUCAGAGCGUUCAGGUUCUUUGUUUUGUGUUUGAGUUUAAAUACUCGGUGACGAUGAACGGUGGAAGCAACAUUUGUGUAGACGAGCUUACCGGUGAUAAUUAUAGUUAUUGGAGGCUAUGUAAGGAAGCUUUUCUUCAAGGACAAGAUUUGUGGGAUCUUUUUUUCGGUGAUGAUUCAAUUUUAGAAGACAUUAUGGAGAAUGCGGAGGCACAGAGGAAGUGGAAGGUCAAGUGUGGCAAAGCCUUAUUUACUUUGCAAACUUUUAUAAGCAAGAGUAUGUAUAACAUGUUCCUGAUGAUAAUUCUCCAAAGAAAGUGUGGGGCACACUUGUAAGAUUGUUCACUCAGAAGAAAACAACAAGAUUGCAGUAUUUGGAGAAUGAACUUGCUAAAACAACUCAAGGUAAUUUUUCUGUUUCAGAAUAUUUUCUGAAAAUUAAGACUUUGUGUUUUGAAAUUUUAGAAUUGGACAAAGAGGAGCCUAUUAGCGAUGCUCUUUUGUGUCUUAUCUUAUUCAUGGACAGUGAAAGGAGUUUAUGCCAUUUAUUUCUAUGAUACAAGGUUGGAUAAAUCAACCUUCUAUCGUUGAGUUGGAGAAUUUGCUCUCAAAUCAAGAAGCAUUGAUGAAACAAAUACUUCACAACACAACCAAUCUCAUUUCAUGGUGGAAGCUAUUCUUUAUACAAAAGAUAAGGGAAUAGUCAAUUAUUCUUCCAAACAUUCUACAAAUGACAAUAAUGAUUCUAAGAUUGAAGGGCAGUCCAAGGGCCAAUUGAAGGGAUGUUUUAGGUGCGGUAAGCUAGGACACAUCAAACUUGAUUGUUGGAUGAAGGUGGUAUGUCAUCGUUGUAGAAAAUCGGGUCAUUUUAGACCAAAUUAUUGUGUGGAUCUCAAAGAAGAAGGAGAAACUAUUGUACAAGAAAGUAACAAAUUUGAGCAAAUUAAAUAGGAACAAUGCUUAUCAAUUGAAGCUAUUGAUCAACCCAUUAAUUUUCAUGCUAAUGUUUCUAUAGAUUACAAUACAAAUUGAAUUGUUGAUUCCAGUUGUUCUCACCAUACAACUAAAAAUAUUUCUCUUCUCUCUGAUGUAUGUGCUCACAAAGGAGGAAGAGUAAUUGUAACAGUUGACAAUUCCUUACAGUCUAUUAUUGAAGAAGUGGAUGUUAAUGUUGAGAACAGUAGUAUUUCUCUUACAAAUGUUUAUCAUGUUCCAGGUUUAAAGAAGAAUUUUGUUUCAAUCUCUCGAAUUGCUGACUCUGGGAGACAUGUUCUUUUUGGACCAAAUGAUGUGAAAAUUAUUUCAGAUGUUAUGAAGGUCAAAAUGAUGGUGCAACACUUUGGGAUGCUCGACUAGGUCAUGUUGGUUACCAAUUGUUGGAAAAAAAUUCUAUGAAGAAGCUUCUUGAUGGUGUUCCUCUCUUUAAAGAAACACACGAUGAUGUGGUUAGCUCUGGUUAUCAAUUUGGUAAGUCACACCGUCUUCCUUUCCUAAAUUCAAAUAACAGAUUUACUGUUGCAUUGCAGUUAGUUCAUUCAGAUUUGAUGGGACCACUAAAACACCCAACUAUUCUAGUUGUUGUUAUGUUAUGGUUAUUGUGGGUACUUUUUCUCAUUUCACUUGGAUGUAUUUUCUUGAAGCUAAAAGUGAGACUUUCUCCAAGUUUAUCUAGUUCAAGAAGUAAGUAGAGAAGGAAUUUAUGUUACCUAUAAAGUGUCUUCACAUAGAUAAUGGGAAGAAGAUAUGUCUGAUCAGUUUCAUAAUUAUUGCAAAGAGCAUGGGAUUCAACGCCAAAUGACGUAUCUUGACACUCCACAACAGAAAAGAGUUGCUGAACGUAAAUUAGCACAUCUUACCUCCAUGUGCUUGUCUCGGCUACAUGUAAAGAAUCUUCCAAGGGAGCUAUAGGCAAUCGUUAUUCAGUCAACUUAUCAUGUUAUAAAUUGCUUAUCUCCAUGGGUGAGGUCGAUUAUAUCUUCUUUUGAGAUAUUAUAUCAUCAGAAACCCAAUGAAAGGAUGGAGAUGUAUAGAACCAAAGAUGAGAGAAGUUUUUGUUUCUCGUGAUGUGGUGUUUGACAAAGGUUCGUCAUACCAAAUAGAUGCAAAUUCAAAGAAAGAAGACAUUGUUGACGUGCCACCUUUCUUUACUGAUCAUGCAUCGAAUGAGAAUGGUAUUAAUGUUAAUCUUGGAGAAAAUGUUGAGGCAAAUGAAGAUACCAAAUUGUUGCUUAUAAGUCUUCUAGACCGUGAACACGACCUAGUUAUUUAUCUGAUUAUGAGGUACACUUGAAUAAUUUUUCAUUUGUAUCUUGUUUUUU